rnacentral:lncRNA from 1 species
UGAUGUCGUGAAAAUGCAUGUUGACAGCCUGGUCCACUGAUUGUUCGUCCUCGAAAGUAAUAAAUCCAAAACCUCGGGGCCUCUGUUUCUCUGCGUCAUAGAUCAUUACAACUUCAGUGACCACUCCGAAUUUCUUGAAGUAUUCCCUGAGCUCAGUCUCGCCACAGUUAUGAGGAAUCCCACCAACAAAAAUUUUAUUUGAU